rnacentral:rRNA from 1 species
UUCCAGCCAUGCCGCGUGCAGGAAGACGGUCCUAUGGAUUGUAAACUGCUUUUAUACAGGAAGAAACACCUCUACGUGUAGAGACUUGACGGUACUGUAUGAAUAAGCAUCGGCUAACUCCGUGCCAGCAGCCGCGGUAAUACGG